AGAGCUGAGUCUCUGGGGAAGGCAAAGCUGUGGUCUAGAAGAAGAUGAGACUGCUGGGUCUUCUCCUUUGCCUGCUGAUGGCUCCCCAAGGUGUCCUGUCCCAGGUGCAGCUGCAGGAGUCGGGCCCAGGACUGGUGAAGCCCUCGCAGACCCUCUCCCUCACCUGCACUGUCUCCGGGGGCUCUGUCACUGACAGUUACUAUUGGAGUUGGAUCCGCCAGCGCCCUGGGGAAGGGCUGGAGUGGAUGGGGUACUGGUCAGGGAGCCCAAGCUACAUUUCGGCUUUCCAGAGCCACAUCUCCAUCACUGCUGACACGUCCAAGAACCAGUUCUCUCUGCAGCUGAGCUCUGUGACCACUGAGGACACGGCCGUGUACUACUGUGCAAGAGGCACAGUUAUUACUGAGCAAGUGGAAGAUAUUAUUAGACACACAGUGAUGGGAAGUCAGUGUGAGCCCAGACACAAACCUCCCUGCAGAGAGACAGCAGGGGCUUGGCUGCAGGGGGCGCUCAAGACCCACUGA